UACGGAGGGGGCUAGCGUUGUUCGGAAUACUGGGCGUAAAGCGCGCGUAGGCGGACCUGCAAGUCGGGGGUGAAAGCCCGAGGCUCAACCUCGGAACUGCCUUCGAUACUGCGGGUCUCGAGUCCGGGAGAGGUGAGUGGAAUUCCUAGUGUAGAGGUGAAAUUCGUAGAUAUUAGGAAGAACACCAGUGGCGAAGGCGCUGCACUGGCCCGGUACUGACGCGUGAGGCGCGAAAGCGUGGGGAGCGAACAGG
rnacentral:rRNA from 1 species